AAGCACCCCUGGACUUUCACUUAAUUUUAACCAGGGAACAGCUUUCUAUGUUUUGAAAAAGUAUUUUAUCUAACCAAGGGCAUAGAUUAGGUUGUUUAGGCUGGGGGAGAUUGCCUGUUGCGUAGUUGCUGAUUGCUGGCCUCGCUAGAAGGAAAAGCUGUAUCAACAAAGUUCCGGAGCUGGAAGGGGGGUUACUUGGGGGGGAGCUGGAGGGGGGGUUACUUGCUGGGCUUGCUAUACCUUUCAUCACAUCAGCAAGUUUAACCUGUUACGUAGCUAUAUAAGGCAGACACCCACUGGGGUGUGGGUGCUUGCUUUGCGAAUGAUUGCCAAGCACCACUUUCUGCGCAGAAAUAAAGAUUAAGUUGGAUCCUUCACCCCUGUGUGUUUAUUGGCACAAGCGCACCGGGCACGAACUCACUGUCCUUUGGUGACAACAGAGGCACAGUGAAGUUCGCCUCAGCUCACAUGCAGAGCAGACUCGAUUAAUCAAGUUUGCUCUGAAGCAACAGAUCUCUGGGGCAUUGCUGGGAAAAGGUGGACUGGGAGAGUCAGAUUCACAAGAAGUUGCAGAGAUGAUUAGAAGCCAAUCUAGACUCUCUCCAGGAAGUGACUGAAAAAAAAAAAUUGGAAAGAAAAAAGUGUAAAACAUUAAUGGGAAAGUAUCAACAUAGGAGGUCAUCCCUGACAGGCAUGACAUCUUCAUUACAGAAAUUUUGAAAGAGAAUAAAGAUCUUUUAAAAUAUUGA